UCAUAUUUUAGCAAAGCCCUAGCCUCUCCUACAAGUCGGCGAUGGUUCCUCUUCUUAGUCCCAUCAAUCCAUCAUCUUGGCAGCCAUACUCCUCUUAUUCUUGUAUACCCGUUGACUCUGCAAUCACAGGUCACGUGUAACAGACCUCACUAGUAUUUAACGCGUAGAGGCACAUUAUCAGACCGAGCAAACUAAGGUCGUUAGGUAAUCUUGUAUUUGGGAACUUGCUGUCUGGAGUAGCUGCAGUGGUCAUGGGUCGACUGGAAGAAUUCAUGUGAUUGAUUAUUGACAGUAUACAUUGGUUUUGAACAAUUUAACUUUGGUUUACUAUUUGCUUCCGCUGAACAUGUUGGUUUUCAUUUAAACUUGUUGAAGGUAUUUUUAUUAAUAAUUGAGAACUUUAUU
rnacentral:lncRNA from 1 species